rnacentral:rRNA from 1 species
GAUGAACGCUGGCGGCGUGCCUAAUACAUGCAAGUCGAGCGAACGGACGAGAAGCUUGCUUCUCUGAUGUUAGCGGCGGACGGGUGAGUAACACGUGGAUAACCUACCUAUAAGACUGGUAUAACUUCGGGAAACCGGAGCUAAUACCGGAUGAUAUUUUGAACCGCAUGGUUCAAAAGUGAAAGACGGUCUUGCUGUCACUUCUAGAUGGAUCCGCGCUGCAUUAGCUAGUUGGUAAGGUAACGGCUUACCAAGGCAACGAUGCAUAGCCGACCUGAGAGGGUGAUCGGCCACACGGGAACUGAGACACGGUCCAGACUCCUAAGGGAGGCAGCAGUAGGGAAUCUUCGGCAAUGGGCGAAAGCCUGACGGAGCAACGCCGCGUGAGUGAUGAAGGUCUUCGGAUCGUAAAACUCUGUUAUUAGGGAAGAACAUAUGUGGAAGUAACUGUGCACAUCUUGACGGUACCUAAUCAGAAAGCCACGGCUAACUACGUG